rnacentral:rRNA from 1 species
GACAGAGGUGCCAAGCGUUAGGCGGAAUCACUGGGCUUAAAGCGUAUGUAGGCGGAAUCGUAAGUACCUUGUGAAAUCCCACGGCUCAACCGUGGAACUGCUUGGUAUACUGCGUUUCUUGGGCCAAUUAGGGGCAGCCGGAACAAAUGGUGGAGCGGUGAAAUGCGUAGAUAUCGUCUGGAACGCCGAAGGUGAAAACAGCUCGCUGGGAUUGUGCUGACGCUGAGACACGAAAGCCAGGGGAGCGAACGGG